rnacentral:rRNA from 1 species
AACAGGAUUAGAUACCCUGGUAGUCCACGCCCUAAACGAUGUCUACUAGUUGUCGGGUCUUAAUUGACUUGGUAACGCAGCUAACGCGUGAAGUAGACCGCCUGGGGAGUACGGUCGCAAGAUUAAAACUCAAAGGAAUUGACGGGGACCCGCACAAGCGGUGGAUGAUGUGGAUUAAUUCGAUGCAACGCGAAAAACCUUACCUACCCUUGACAUGGAUGGAAUCCUGAAGAGAUUUGGGAGUGCUCGAAAGAGAACCAUCACACAGGUGCUGCAUGGCUGUCGUCAGCUCGUGUCGUGAGAUGUUGGGUUAAGUCCCGCAACGAGCGCAACCCUUGUCAUUAGUUGCUACGAAAGGGCACUCUAAUGAGACUGCCGGUGACAAACCGGAGGAAGGUGGGGAUGACGUCAAGUCCUCAUGGCCCUUAUGGGUAGGGCCUCACACGUCAUACAAUGGUACAUACAGAGGGCCGCCAACCCGCGAGGGGGAGCUAAUCCCAGAAAGUGUAUCGUAGUCCGGAUUGGAGUCUGCAACUCGACUCCAUGAAGUUGGAAUCGCUAGUAAUCGCGGAUCAGCAUGUCGCGGUGAAUACGUUCCCGGGUCUUGUACACACCGCCCGUCACACCAUGGGAGCGGGUUUUACCAGAAGUGGGUAGCCUAACCGUAAGGAGGGCGCUCACCACGGUAGGAUUCGUGACUGGGGUGAAGUCGUAACAAGGUAACC